GAAUAUUGGACAAUGGGGGCAACCCUGAUCCAGCCAUGCCGCGUGUGUGAAGAAGGCCUUUUGGUUGUAAAGCACUCUAAGCAGUGAAGAAGACUCCAUGGUUAAUACCCAUGGACGAUGACAUUAGCUGCAGAGUAAGCACCGGCUAACUCUGUGCCAGCAGCCGCGGUAAUACAGAGGGUGCAAGCGUUAAUCGGAAUUACUGGGCGUAAAGGUCUCUUAAUUGCGUUCAUAAAUCAUCGCUUAAAUCCCCGUGCUUAACCUGAGAACUGCAUCUGAUACUGUUAGGCUAGAAUAGGUGAACGUAACAUCUACUUCCCUGUUUCUCCAUACCCUCCGUCGCUAUCUCUAUCCCUCCCUCUCACAACUACCUCCUUCUGUCAUCAUAUUGACACUGAGGUUCGAAAGCGUGGGUAGCAAAC
rnacentral:rRNA from 1 species